UAAUGCAGCUGGCAGGGGAGACACCGUGAUCACGAAGGUGGUGUCCCAGGGCGAGGCUCACCCAUUGCCCUGCGGGGGUGCUGACCCCGGCGAUUUCCCCAAAUGUGGGAAACUCGACUGCAUAAUUUGUGGUAGCGGGGGACAGCAUCGCAAUCUCCCCUG
ensembl:snRNA U1 U1 spliceosomal RNA